rnacentral:lncRNA from 1 species
AGCAUAGUUAUGGUAGGAAUGAACCCAAUGGGGCUGUGCGCUCGGCGAAGGGGGCGCGGCAGUUGAAGGUGAUGGUGGUGCACUCGCAGAAGGCUGUGCACCAGGGUGAGCGACGAGGCGCGCGGUUCUUUUCGUGCGUGCCAUUGCGUAGUAACUGAAAUGGAGAAGAAAAAGGGUAAGGUGAAUGAAGAAGAAGGUAAUGAAGAAAUGGUUCAGUGAAAAAUAGGAGAAAGGAAGGAGAAUGAGAUGCUAUGGAGGAAGGAAGUAAAGAAGUGUAAAACAAUGAAAAAGAAGAGAAGACGCGCAGAGAAACCAUAGCGCAGGGUGAAGAAACAAUGUAAAGUAUAUGCAAAUGGCAGUUAUGGGGUGAUGCAAUCGGUAGAGAUCAGUUAAAGGACCAUGAGAUGAAGAAAAGAGGUACCUUUCGAUGAUCGCAGAGGGAUUCUGGGGGCCUGAGGUUGGAGAAGACGAAACACAGGCGUCGCAGUGACGAGACCUCGCCGGAGAUAACAGGGUGAGCACGCAGAGAGAGAGAGAGACGUACUUAGAGAAGAGCACGGAGAUGAAAGCACGUGGGACGAGGUUACAAGAGUUCACUGGAGAGAUGAGAGUGCCUAACAGCGCGUCGUCGGAGAUACCGACACCGGAGUGCGAACGCGUCGUCGGAGAUACUCACACCGGAGUGCGAACGCGUCGUCGGAGAUACUCACACCGGAGUGCAAACGGCAGAGCAGAAACCAAAGAAAAUGCAACGGAUAGAAGAAAUGUCAGUGAGAACAAUGGCAGUGCUUGGAGGGAGAAGAAGAAGAAGAGGCAAAAGAAAAAAUGGACCUUUUGCUCUGUGAAACUAAAUUAAUUUAAAAUUUUGUCUAUUUAUCCAUCUAAAAUGCUUUUAUUAACUUUAUUUUAAUAAAACUCAUAACUAAAGU